GCCUGGGUGGCUCAGUCAGUUAAGCAUCUGACUUCGACUCAGGUCAUGAUCUCACAGUUUGUGGGUUUGAGUCCCACAUCAGACU
rnacentral:tRNA from 1 species